GAUGAACGCUGGCGGCGUGCCUAAUACAUGCAAGUCGAGCGAACAGACGAGGAGCUUGCUCCUCUGACGUUAGCGGCGGACGGGUGAGUAACACGUGGAUAACCUACCUAUAAGACUGGGAUAACUUCGGGAAACCGGAGCUAAUACCGGAUAAUAUAUUGAACCGCAUGGUUCAAUAGUGAAAGACGGUUUUGCUGUCACUUAUAGAUGGAUCCGCGCCGCAUUAGCUAGUUGGUAAGGUAACGGCUUACCAAGGCAACGAUGCGUAGCCGACCUGGGGGGGGGAUGGGCCACACUGGAAUUGGGACACGGGCCAGACUCCUACGGGGGGCAGAAGUAGGGAACCUUCCGCAAUGGGGGAAAGCCGGACGGAGAAACGCCGGGGGAGUGAUGAAGGGCUUCGGGCCGUAAAACUCUUUUAUGAGGGAAGAACAAAUGUGUAAGUAACGAUGCACGCCUUGACGGUACCUAUUCAAAAAGCCCCGGUAAACCACGG
rnacentral:rRNA from 1 species